GGGGGGGGGGGGGGGGGGGCGGGGGGGGGGCGGGGCGGGCGGGGGGGCCCUGCUUGGGUGGGGUGCUCGAGUGGCGAACGGGUGAGUCACACGUGCGUACCCUGCCCUUGGCUUUGGGGUGACUUCCGGCGACUGGGGCUAAUACCGGAUCGGAGCUCCUGCUGCAUGGUGGGUGUUGGACAGUUUCGGCGGUUGGGGAUGGACUCGCGGCUUAUCAGCUUUUUGGUGGGGUAGGGGCUUACCAAGGCUUUGACGGGUAGCCGGCCUGAGAGGGUUACCGGCCACAUUGGGACUGAGAUACGGCCCAGACUCCGACGGGAGGGAGCAGUGGGGAAUAUUGCACAAUGGGCGGAAGCCUGAUGCAGCAACGCCGCGUGCGGGAUGACGGCCUUCGGGUUGUAAACCGCUUGCGCCUGUGACGAAGCGUGAGUGACGGUAAUGGGUAAAGAAGCACCGGCUAACUACGUG
rnacentral:rRNA from 1 species